GGGCAGUGGCAUGGACAAGUAAAGGAAGGUGUGUGAGGGAAGGUGUGUGUGUUAUUCUGUGUGCCUAAAUUUAACCCUCUCUUCCUAGCAGAAAUCCAGUACCAUGAUGGAAUUGUCACACUGACCUUCAGUCAUCAAAUUCCGUAUUCUUGUUUCUAUCACACUUGCACUGUCUUGCCCACUGGAGACUAAGUGAAAUAAGUCUUAGUUACUCUCUACUUUUUUGUUUCUACCUACCAUAUACUUACCUCAGGCAUUAUUUUUCAUCUUCCUUUCUGCAGUUCAUCAUUUAUUCCUUAGAAUGAUCUGUCCUGGCAUUUCCUCGGGUGGCCCUUACAGAAUCCAGGAGAAGAGAUGAGAGGGAGCUACAUGUGGAGGCAGCACAGGAUGCAAACAUUAGCCAGGCCC
rnacentral:lncRNA from 1 species